AAGAAAAUAGCUCAGUUGGGAGAGCAUUAGGCUAAAGGUCCCUGGUUCGAUCCAGGGUUUCGGUGACUUU